GACAGAGGGGGCAAGCGUUGUCCGGAGUUACUGGGCGUAAAGGGCGCGUAGGUGGUCGUACACGUCGCCGGUGAAAGCGCACGGCUUAACCGAGCAGGGUCUGGCGAUACGGUGCGACUGGAGGCAUGCAGAGGUCGGUGGAAUUCCCGGUGUAGUAGUGAAAUGCGUAGAACUCGGGAGGAACACCAGUGGUGCAGACGGCCGACUGGGCAUUGCCUGACACUGAGGCGCGACAGCGUGGGGAGCGAACCGA
rnacentral:rRNA from 1 species